rnacentral:rRNA from 1 species
CCUACGGGAUGCAGCAGUGAGGAAUAUUGGUCAAUGGACGCGAGUCUGAACCAGCCAAGUAGCGUGAAGGAUGACUGCCCUAUGGGUUGUAAACUUCUUUUAUAUGGGAAUAAAAUGAUGCACGUGUGCCUUUUUGUAUGUACCUUAUGAAUAAGGAUCGGCUAACUCCGUGCCAGCAGCCGCGGUAAUACGGUGGAUCCGAGCGUUAUCCGGAUUUAUUGGGUUUAAAGGGAGCGUAGGUGGGUUGUUAAGUCAGUUGUGAAAGUUUGCGGCUCAACCGUAAAAUUGCAGUUGAUACUGGCAGUCUUGAGUACAGUAGAGGUGGGCGGAAUUCGUGGUGUAGCGGUGAAAUGCUUAGAUAUCACGAAGAACUCCGAUUGCGAAGGCAGCUUACUGGACUGCAACUGACAUUGAUGCUCGAAAGUGUGGGUAUCAAACAGGAUUAGAUACCCUGGUAGUC